GGGGCGUCGCCUUGUCCUCUUCGGAGCCAAUCGGAAUUCUGUUUCAUACUUUGUAAACAACACGGUUGCACGUUGUCUGCAAACUACUACGGGUAGUUGUCGCGGGCCAGGCGCCGCCAAGCCACUUCGCUCUGUCUCCAGGCAAAGGUGUAUGUUUCUUGGAGGGACCAUGGAGUGGUAAAUGAGAAGUGCUCCACCCUGUGCCCUCCUCCACCGAACUCACGCGAGCGGAUCCCCGUCCUUUCAUUGCUCGUACGUCGGCGUGUGAGCGAAUGUAGCGUUAGCCCUACGACAAAGAAGAGGCUUUUCGGCUGCGUCCUGGUUGGCUAAUCUAUGAAGCAAUGCAGUGAAAACCUCUAAAGCAGGAAUCGCCAGUGAGGCUGCUAGCUGGCAUGAUGCAUGGGUGCAUCACUGUUGGACCAGUCUACAACAGAAUUUGAACAUGAUGAAACCAGGAGAGUAUCAAGCGGUACUAUGGCAGCUGUGAAGGCACUCUGUUGUCGCUCAGUCAAUGUGCUUUGCAGUCCAACGAAACGAGUAUCUAUAUCGGACACCGGAGCUGUUUCUGGAUGGGGACUGGAUUGGUUUAGUUUGAAAGGAUCAUAUGGAGUAACCAGUGUAUGAAACAAGCUCUACAUAGUGGAAUUCCUUCAAGAAUUCUUCUGUAUCUUCAUAUUGACACCAUACUGGUUAUGUUCAGAAUCUUGACAUGAUCCGGUAUGCUGGUUAUGUAAUAAGCUUUCACAAUUUCGAAAAUCAAUCUAAUUUUUGUUUGUAACCUUAGUAUUUAUUUGAGUAUUUAUUAAUUUAAGUAACAGUUGGAGAGCUAGAUUUAUAGUAAUAAUUUAAAUAUCUGAGUUAUGUAAAUGUUUAUAUAGUUAUGUUAAACAACACACAAAAAAAGAUUCUCUACCAUAGAUCCAUAAUUUUGACAAACUUAUAAACCAACUCUAUUAUGUUGUUCACACUGCAUUAGAAUGAAUGAGAAUGGUUAUAUUACAUCUUUAAUUGCAUUUUAUAAAUGAACUAUUUUGAAUGCAUUUCUUUUAAACAUUUACAAAUAUUGCAUUAUUCAUAAUUAAAAAGAUUAAAUAAUGAUUAGAAGCAUUGCCUUUUGGGUGACAUUUUCCACUCCGUGCUCUGUUUGUUAUAGUAUUAACUCCCUGUAACAAACUU
ensembl:lncRNA